UCUUGUGAAGACAAGUUUGGAGGACCGACUGCCAGACGAGAGCUCCAGCUUGCUCCACAGAUGGUCUUAAGUGAAACCGAAUGCACAGAAGUGAUCUCACUCAUGAAACAUUCUGUUGAUGAGGACAUUGUCAAGAUGAAGAUGAAGCUGACAUUUGUCUGCCGCCGCAAUAUGGUCCUUGAUCCCCAGGAGUCAACCAACAUACUGUUUUUCAACAUUUCAAAGAUGUCAAAGGCUUGGUCGAACAGGAUUUCGUUAUGAUGUUAGGGGAGAGCAAGCAAGUUUCUGGAGAGAUGGCCAGCAACAUUCAAGAAAAAGAUCAUCCAGCCAUUCAGAAAACUUCCUUCCGUCAGUGUGCUGGAAGAACUCCUACUGGCAGCUGAUCCUCCUGAUGAUGGAACUGAUUCAGAUGUGAACUUUGACUGGGACAAAUAUCCAAGAGCAUCUUCGCUCCAUCACUACCAGUACUCAAGCCUAUCUCCUUGCUGUUGGAGUGAAUAAGAAAAUGAUCCACCAGUUCUUCAUCAUUCUUGACAAGGACGCCAUUCCAUGCAAGUCAACCUCAUCUCUUGGUGCACUUGACGAACUAUUUAAGGCACAUUUUGUGUUUGGUCCACAACAUGUACACCUUCAUCCAAACCACUGUGUACAACAUAGAUGUUGGCAAAAUCAAGGAGAGUCCUUGUGUUGCUGAAGUUAGGGCAAGGUUGCUUUGUUAGUGGUUGACAGUGAUUGGCGCUUGUCCUCCUCCAUGAUGUGUUAUGUUUGUCAGGCCAAGUUUACUGGUUCUAAUUUGCUUGUUAGGCAUUUAAAAAUAGUUCACGGUUUCUUGCCUGGAAAAAAUCUGCACCUUAAAUGUGCAGGUA